rnacentral:rRNA from 1 species
AACGAACGCUGGCGGCAUGCCUAACACAUGCAAGUCGAACGAGACCUUCGGGUCUAGUGGCGCACGGGUGCGUAACGCGUGGGAACCUGCCCUUAGGUUCGGAAUAACUCCCCGAAAGGGGUGCUAAUACCGGAUAAUGUCUUCGGACCAAAGAUUUAUCGCUUUUGGAUGGGCCCGCGUUGGAUUAGCUAGUUGGUAGGGUAAAAGCCUACCAAGGCGACGAUCCAUAGCUGGUCUGAGAGGAUGAUCAGCCACACUGGGACUGAGACACGGCCCAGACUCGUACGGAAGGCAGCAGUGGAGAAUAUUGGACAAUGGGGGAAAGCCUGAUCCAGCAGUGCCGCGGGAGUGAUGAAGGCCUUAGGGUUGUAAAGCUCUUUUACCCGGGGUGAUAAUGACAGUACCGGGAGAAUAAGCUCCGGCUAACUCCGUG